UUUUUUUUUGUAAUAGCAGCAGGUGCAACCUUUUGUAUUUUCAAAGCAUUGAUUUUCAUUUUCGUGUGGGCAGACACCGGAUCCACCUGAGAGCACGGGGCUAGGAGAGCAGCCCAGGCUGCGUCAGAGUCUCAGGGAAUAGAAUUCAGCUCGGUUCUCCGUCCCAGCCCUCUGAGAAGGCGGGAGGGAAUGUUUGAGUCCCGGACGACUUUUCCCGUCCGGAGAGCGGCAGCCAGUGCAGCCGGUGGCUUGAGGGAGGAAGGUAGGAGCCAGGUGGGGGGCCUCCCUCGGCCGGCUCGGGCGGCGGCUGCGGAGGAAAGCUCUGGGCGCGGUGGCGGGAGAGCCAGCUCUGGGGAGCGGCUUGGUUUUUGCCCUCGUUUUGUUUAACUGUAGCAAAUUGGAAAUUUCUUUUCUUAAUUCACUGUCAAAGAGAUGAACCCCCCCACCCCAUCCCAUUCGCCAACCCAGCUGCCUCCGGCGGUAGACCGGCGCGGCUUGUUCUGCCCCGCACUACCGGAUCCAGAGGUGCGAAGCUGGAGUCUUGAGCGCCGGGUCUGGCUGCCCCAUCGCUCAGCGCGGAACUCCAGCCCGGCCCGCGGGGCUGGAGCCUCAGCUGCGCGCGCGAGGGAGUGGCAGGCGCAAGAGCUGUCCCGCCCCUGGGGGCGAAUAGUGGUAGUGAACUUGGCUAGGGCAGCCGAUUUUCAUUCUCAGCGUGUUUACCUGCACCCCCAUCCUCUCCAACGUUUGCUUUUCUAGGCUUCAGAAACCCGGCCAAUUAAAAUAACGCGCCAUACUCCCUUAGGCUGCAGAGCCCGAGGCUGGGACGGCACAGGCGGAGCUGCUUAGACUAUCCACCCCCCCCGCACCCCCCCCCGCACCCCCCCGCCCCAGGCCUCCGCUGGCCACUUUCUGGUUUUCAGGGUUUUCUGUUCAUAACCCUGAAUUACAUUACUAGACGUUGUGUUUAAAUUUUAAUUUAAAGAAGCGCUACCCUAACAGUCUGAGAACAACAACAACAACAACAACAAAACAAAAACAAAAACAAAAUCAAAACCUCCCAAAACAGGCAAGCAUUUGCUACUACCAGAAGGGCUGUACACUCCAGAGGCAUAUUUGGUCAGAGGGCCCAGAGGUUCUCAGCCCUAUGGUUGACAGUCCCAGGCACAAAACUGACUCCAGACACUCCCUUCUGAGGAUGGGGUCCUGAACCCAACAGCAAGAACAAUUCUGAGAAGAGCAGUGCUUUGUUCAUUUAAAAAAACAAAUGUCCUGUCUUUGCUUUUUUGAAGCUGUGUGUGAGUUUCCUAGGUGUCUAGUAUCUCCUCUUAGAGACUGGUCUAAGAAUCGCUGAAGUUGAUGAAGUGGAGAAGACCCUCAUCUGCAGAGGAGGUUUGUGCUUGUGUGUUUUGUGUGCCUCUGAGAUGCUGUAAUAAUGUGAGGAUGUCUUCGGUAAGCAAGCUGAAGUGUUAGUGUGUGACUGUGUGACAGGUGUGUGCAAAUGUCUUAUUAGUACUCUGUGCUGUUUGUAUUUCUCUCUCUCUUUCACUCUCUCUCUCCUGAUCAGGAUAUCCCAGGACACAUGUGCAGAAGAUAAGGAUUAUUCAUAUUCACCACCCAACAGCAUUUUGCUGUGCUUGGAUCUCAGGAUCUCAUUGUGGAGUGAACAAUAUGUUCUUCCAUAACAGGAGAGUUAAUGAAAAUAAUUUCUACUUGAGGUUCCUUUCUCUCUGCCUGCCUCCCAUCCUGUCAAAGCAAAGCCUUGGGUAUAUGAAGCUGGGAAGUGAAAGGAGCCAACUGAGGAGAAGGAAGGAACUGCUCAGAGGAGGACCCCAGAGCAGUCACCAUCUUCUUCCUAACACCACCCCAGGUCCAAGGAAAUCAUUCACAUCACACAUGUUGUUAUUCAUGCCAUUAUUAUUAUUAUUAUUAUUAUUAUUAACCACUAUGCAAGUCAGAGCAGUAGUGUCUUGGCAGGAGUGAGUGAAAUAUUUAGGGGUGUUAAUGAAAGGGGUCACCUGGAUAUUUCAGAUUUACCUGCUACCUCUCAUGCUUCCUUCAGGACUGACCCUCCCUGUGUCCUGUCUCUUAAAGUGUUUACCCAAGGCUGGAAAGAAUGACUUCCUACUUAGGUGAGCUUCUGCCCUCCUCUGCAGCCCACCCAGUGAUAGUGACACUGUUUGGAUUUGGGCUUAGCUCUUGGAAGAGGAGGGCAUCUACUAUCCAUUGCCUCUCUGACAGGUGUCUAGGGAGUUACUAUAGGACCCCUCAGAAACCUCCCGGAUGCCAGGUCCCUUCAUGUGAAAACGGCAGUUGAAGAGGCUCCUGGCAAAGCAUUACUGUUUUAAAGGUGCCAAGCUGCACUUGUAGGCUUCUGGCUUUCUGACACAGCAGAGUGUUAGGGGUAAAAAUAUUGCAGUCGGGUGUCUCAAAAGAAUGACUAGAGGGGCAAGACCCCUGGGAUAUGUAUGGCAUGUGCUUAGGCUGGCUUUUUGGUACCCUUGUCCUUGAUAUUCUAGGAAGUGUUAAGUUCCCCACCCCGCCCCUUAAAUCUCAGAUCAUCAAAGAGAAAUGUAAUUAGGGAAAGAUAGUGGCAAAGUAUUAUUCACAGUGACAUUUAAGUAGACCUAGACCUUUUUCUCCAACUGUCACUCCAUGGCCACAAUUAUUCCAUCCACUGAGAGAGAGGAGACCAGCCAAUGGAAGGGUAACCUGGGGCAACAGCUUUUUGUUUUCUUUCUGGUUCAGGAGUGAAUGCUUUGUUGCUGACUCAUCUCUGAGGACGUCAGGAUGUCCUGUGGUGGUGAAGGUGUUUGAGGACAGAUAAGGUCACUUACCUCUGCUCCUCCUCUCCUCUUUAAGGAGAGAUUACAUUCUCUCAUGGCACCGCAUCCUCCUUCUAGCCAUCUACCACUCCCUUCUCUCUGGUACCCACGGAACCACACACGUUCAGACCUGCUUUGGCUGUUGUGCCUGUAGCUUCCCUUCUACUUGGUCAGAGAACAAGAAUCUAGUCCCUUCCAUUACUGUCACUCCCCGCCACCACAACAGAGAUGCUCACAUACGGGUACUCAAGAUAGUGCUCACUGAUAAAUUUAACUUGUGCUUAUUCCUCUGCUCCCAGAGAACAGGAGAUAUGGCCCUACGUCAGCACUCUGUGGGAAGGAUUCAGGGUCAGGUGUGAGAACACAUGAGAGCACAGCCUCAUGAAUUUGCCUGGCUUAGCCUGGAGGCAUAACCACUCAGCCAUCCUUGCAUUCAUCCAGCCCCUCUGAUCUCCCACAGGAAAGGUUGGAGAAAAGACACGUCUGCAAAGAGCUCACUCACUGUCACUGUCACUGUCACUGUUAGAGAGCAAAGUCACACCAAGCGAAAAGCCCCAGAACAGCAAACUGCAACAGAUGGUUAAAUGUCUUCCAGGCUUGAGGAUUUCCACAAGGAGGAAAUAGAAAGCAGAAAGCAUACAAGUUGAGGGUGAGAAGUGGGAUGAACUAACUGUGAGGUGGGUAGUGGCUUAGAGGAGAGAGAGGUUCUUGCGAAGCAGGAUGCCAGGGUAUUCUACUGCAAAGAGCUGGAGAGCGGCCUGCUUAAGGCUGCAGAGGGUGUGGAGCACAAGCUGAGUGCAUCUCCCUUCUGUAAGUGUUGUUUGGGUAGAGACCGACUCAAGUCAUUGUCCAAGAACAGAGUGCAUGCAGGGUCACAGGAGCCCUCGGAGAGGGUGGAGCUGUGUAGGCAUUGGCAGCCAAGGAAGACUUCCUGGAGAAGGGGGCCAUGAUGUGGUUCCAUGGGAGAGAGCACUCAGCCUCAGCUGAGGCAAUGGUUGGAGUGACCCAGGGCGGGAGUGAACAGUCAUCUGUGGCAUUUCUAGCAACAAGGACAGGCUCCCAGAAGCUCCCGUAGAUUAGGUAGAGGGUGAGGAAGCAGGGUGGGACUUGGAGGGUUUAGCCUUUUGUGAACUGAGCCAUAAGCUCAGAGUUUCCUUGCCCUUGAAUAAUUUGGGAAAGCUCUGUAAUAUAAAGCUCAGUGAAGAAGAGAAAAAACAGUUCUCACCACCUCUGUUAAUUUUAGCAGCAUCUUGUCACCACCAAAAGACCUCCUUGUCCUGUUCUGAGCCCACAGCAAACCUAGCCAGGGAACCAAAUUUAUUAGAGGGAAGGAGAAAAUAGGAAGAUGGAAGCUGUAUGUUUGUUCUCCAGGGCCGCUUAGAAGAAUAGAACAUCACUAGGGACACUAACUAGUACCAGGUACAGGUACUGGUAGACAACGGUCCCCUAUGCUGUUUUUCUUGCUAUCUCGAUCUGAAGGACACACUUCCUUGGUCCAGUGUGGGCUGGGAUUCUCCAGUUGUAUUCAUUGACUGGUCAACUCCUGUUAUAGGCUUUUGCCCCAGUUUCUCAGUUUUGUUGAUGACAGGCUGCCAGUGAAAGAACAGCAUGAGAACAAAGGGAUUUCAAGUCUAGGUUGGGGACAUCCUGUGUAGUCAGAGUACAGAGUCAGAUGCAGGAGAAGGUUAUCAUUUUCUUGGACUUCAGCUUUCCUGUCUGUAAAAUGGAAGCAAAAAUCCUUUCUCCAGCCCCCUUUCUUUCCUCCUCUCCUAUCUCAGAGACAGCGAUAUGUCUGAGGUUUUCAUGUAAAAAAAAUUAUUAUUAAAAUGAGAAAGUAGGGAUUGAGGUAUAAACAGGAGAUAGGAGAAGGAAUAUAGACUUAAUGAUCUCCAUUGCAGGGCAUCAGUGAGCUAGGAACUAGCUGGUUAUCUUCCCCAGAGUAUGACUGUCUCUUGAAAGAGGACUGUGCCCAGAACUGCAGAAGCAGAUGUCUUGAAACCUGCCAGUUUCAAGUCCUGCCUCUCCCACUUAUUAGCUGUAUGACUUUGGACAGGUUGUUUAGUGUCUCUGUGGCUCAGUUUCCACAUUUGUAAAAUCGGCAGAGAUACAGAGCCUGGCUCGUAGAGUCGUUGUGAAGAUUAAAUGAGUAAGUGCAGGUAAAGAGUUCAGAUCAAUGUCCGGACAGCCGAUAGUAUUGGAGCAUCACUAACAGGCCUCUGGGGGCUGAGGGAAUGCUCGAGCCCCUCCCAACUCCUGCAGGACCACAGGGUUGAGCCCUAGAACUAGGUGCCCAGUUGUGAGGUGGAUGUGUGGCUGUGCUUACAGACUGUACUCUGAUUUCCUUAUAUACCCCCUGGGGAUAGAAAUAUUUAGAUAUCACAAAGCUGUAUCACAGCUGUCUUCUGGUGGCUUGUCCUGUGUACCUGCUGCUAGCACUCUGGACCCGUCUUCUUACCUGUGAGGUGUUACAGAAGUAAGUCUUUUUAAUUGUGAUGUUUUACUAAUUAGUUUUUAAUUAUGUUAAUUUAUUGUACAUGAGCCCUGAGGUUUGCAGACACUAGCUCACUUGGAAGCUGGAAUAGUAGGUUGCGUUUAUCACACAAAAUGCUGUGCUGCACGUCACUGCAGCAUGCCUCAUGGUUUCUCUAACACUCUUGAAUCAGCAAGUCCUACCUGGGCUUUCUCAUCCUAACUUUUUCCAUGGCUGCAAGGUACUUAAUCUGGUACAGAGACUCAACACUGUCAGGUUGGGCAGAUAAGGAGUGAGAGCUGGGUGAGGCUGGGAGGACACUGGGUAGGGCUUAGGAAAGUGAGCCUUCACCAGGCCAGGCUUCUAAGAAUGGUUAUGCUGGCCAGACCCUUGGACUUGCUCACUUUGGUAGAAUUCUCCUGGAAAAGCAUGCUGGACCUGGUACUGCUGCAGACAUGUCCAGUGGUCUACAGUAUAGCACAGUAUUGCUAUCUACAAAGUUUACAUGCAAGAAGAAUCAUGCAAUGCAGCCUUUUUUUUUUAAUCCCAACAAUAAUCACACAAUUCUUUUAAAAGUAAGUUUAUAAUUUUGUGUUAGGCUACAUUAUAGCUAUUUUCAGCUGCAUGUGUCCUGUCAGUUGCAGGCUGAGCACCCUUGGAACAGCUUGUCAAAGGGCCUACAGUCAUGUGGUCUGGGAGAGGCAGCAGAAGUUGAAGAUGAGGAUAAUGAAUGCAUGGGCCGUCAGGGACCUGGGGGGGGGGCGUAGACAGAGGCAGGCUCAUGUUCCAAGUUGUGUUUAUCUGUGUGGGGUUGGGCAUGUAAGCUUUGCAGCAAGGCUGUCGGGAUUUGGACACCAUGACCAGGAGUUUAUUGUCUAAGGAUAAAAUAGAAAAGCAUAACCAAUAGCACAAGACUGAAGGAGAUAUCAGGAGUUUGGGAAGGACAAAUGUAACAGGGAGAACACCUCUCUCCAAACACAUGUGCAGAAGGGGUGGGUCACCCUAUGGGGUUCAUCCCUUCCAGGUCAUUUCCACUGUCAAAUAAUAGUGUCCUGCUGCUAUAAGGAAUAUGCCAAAGAAGAACUCUCAGUUUUAAGGACACCACAUUUCCCUCAACACUCGCCUGACUGCAGCCUUCUUUUAAUAAGUUUCUCAUCCUUUAAACUGUCCAUGCGGAGUUGUGUGUACAAAUUCUGGUCCCUUGCCCAAUGCACAUAGUAAUGUAAGUUUGUCUCAGAGAGCCUAUUUGAAAGAAAUACACUCUAUAAAUGACACCUGAACAUUUACUGUGUCAAAAUCUGUAUAUGAGGCAUAUAUUUCACUGCUGAAUAUACACACAGAUAGGUUCAUGUCUUGUACUUAGGAAGAGAAACAGUUUGGGUUCAGGACAUAGUUUAGGAAUGUCUGAAGUACAUACAUGAGAGUCUGAGUUCUGCUCCCCAGCUCUGAUAGCAAAAUCCUGGUACGGUAGGGCAUGCCUCUAAUUCCAGCCUCGGGAGGUGGAGAAAGCUGUAUUCUUGGGUUUGUUGGGAAGUCAGUCUAGGUAAGUUGGUGAUCUCCAGGUUCAAUGACUCAAAAAUAACAAUAAAAAUGAUAAUGCACUAGGGCUUAAGAGAUGGCUCAGUUGAUAGGAGUUUGUGCUGCUCUUUCUGAGAAUGGGAAUUUAGUUCCCAGCACCCAUGUUAGGAGGUUCAUAAUCUCCUUAACUCUAGUUAACCCAGGCAACCCAGUGCCCUUUUUUGGUUUAGGCAGACACCAGUGCAUGAGUACACACACACACACACACACACACACACACACACACACACAAACACACAAACACACAAA